rnacentral:rRNA from 1 species
GUCGAACGCUGGCGGCAGGCUUAACACAUGCAAGUCGAACGAGUGGCGCACGGGUGAGUAAUGUAUUGGAACGUCCCUGGUAAUGGGGGAUAACCACUCGAAAGGUUGGCUAAUACCGCAUAUUAUUGGAUGGUCCCAUAUCGGAUUAGCUAGUUGGUGGGGUAAAGGCCUACCACGGCGACGAUCACUAGCGGGUCUGAGAGGAUGAUCAGCCACACGGGGACUGAGACACGGCCCAGACUCCUACGGGAGGGAGCAGUGGGGAAUUUUGGACAAUGGGCGCAAGCCUGAUGCAGCCAGGCCGCGUGUCUGAAGAAGGCCUUCGGGUUGUAAAGGACUUUCAUUUGGGAGGCGGUACCUGAAGAAGAAGCACCGGCUAACUCCGUGCCAGCCGCCGCGGUAAUAC